GAUAUAUAAUGCCACUGUGAAGAUGCUCCGUGGUUUUGCCUUCUUCGCCAGUGCAGGAUGUCAACUGUUGUGUGCAGUUAUCAUGAUAGUAUUCUUGUAUACCUCCCGCCGCGGGAUUGUAACUGAUAUCUCCACUGUUGCCAUCAACGACAACGACUAAACGCCAAGCCCCAUCAUCUACCAACACAAGUGUGUCACCGACACGACCAUGUGGUAUCCGUUGUUGAUGUUGUCGUCAAGGAACUAGGAUGACACUGAGUUAUUACUCUUAAAAUGAACCUGUCAAUACAGGGACCUUAUUAGUUCAUAACCUAAUUCUCAGGAACGUUUUGUAUAUUUGGAAUUAAAGCUUUAAUGCAU